AACGAACGCUGGCGGCAGGCCUAACACAUGCAAGUCGAGCGCCCCGCAAGGGGAGCGGCGGACGGGUGAGUAACGCGUGGGAACGUACCCUUUGCUACGGAAUAGCCUCGGGAAACUGGGAGUAAUACCGUAUGUGUCCUUCGGGAGAAAGAUUUAUCGGCAAGGGAUCGGCCCGCGUUGGAUUAGGUAGUUGGUGGGGUAAUGGCCUACCAAGCCGACGAUCCAUAGCUGGUUUAAGAGGAUGAUCAGCCACACUGGGACUGAGACACGGCCCAGACUCCUACGGGAGGCAGCAGUGGGGAAUCUUAGACAAUGGGCGCAAGCCUGAUCUAGCCAUGCCGCGUGAGCGAUGAAGGCCUUAGGGUUGUAAAGCUCUUUCAGGGGGGAAGAUAAUGACUGUACCCCCAGAAGAAGCCCCGGCUAACUCCGUG
rnacentral:rRNA from 1 species